AGCCACUGGAAGUAGACUAAAUGCUGGAUCUAAGCAUGCACAACAGCUUACAGGGAAUGCAUACUUCAGCGUUUGUACCUUCUAAUCCUGGUGUGAUAAUCUUCAAAGGAUUAGUGCGGACGAUAUGCCCCAUCUCAUAACUGACUCUUACAUUUAGUCUGGAUUGUUGAUCUGCUUUAAACUUCGCAAACUCUCAAGUGGGCUGUACUGAGUCAUUUACUGCAUAUUUCAGGGUAUGCGUUAUGCAUUUAACUUUGUCUUAUUAUCUUUAGAAGCGACAUAUUAUAUGUCAUUGCCUCGCAAAAAAUAUUUAGUUCUUACAUUGGAUUCUACUUUUAGCUUAAUUUGCCAACAAAGUAUGUUUCUUGGCUAGUUGAAUUGAGGCAAAUGUGACAAGCUUUUGUCCUGUGAUUUUGACAUUUGACAAUAGACUAAUAUAGUUUUAGUCCCUCAUGUUUGAGUUUUUAGAGACUAAAGGAGACUAAAGUGGAGAGACUAAUGGAUUAGUCACGUGAACCAAAUAGGGCAUGCACAUAUCUAACCAUUAUUUAUCACUUGUAUUGCAGCAAUCUCAGGACAUGCAGGAAGGUGUAGUGACUGAGAUGGAGCAUGCUGCCCCUAAGGUGGAGGAAUUGGCCGUGUGCUGCUAAAUUAUUGGAAAUGGCAAAUAUAGCUGUAGGAGCAUAGGACGGAGCAACCGAGCAAGUGUUUGUUGUUCUCAUUUGAUCCUUUAUGUGCUCCUGGCUCAUGCUUGUCUAUGUUGGAACUUUUGAGAACUAGUUCCAUUUUGUGAUAAGUGUUUACCGAGCAAGUGUUUACUAAGUUGUAAUUAGUAUUGCUUCUGUACUAAAAAUAUAAGUCUUAUAUUUUUAGUUUUUUUU
rnacentral:lncRNA from 1 species